rnacentral:rRNA from 1 species
CUGUGCCAUAGAGGGUGAAAGCCCCGUAGACGAAACGUCACACUCUCUGUUCAGGAUCCUGAGUACGGCGGGACACGUGAAACCCCGUCGGAAUCUGCGAGGACCAUCUCGCAAGGCUAAAUACUCCCUAGUGACCGAUAGUGAACCAGUACCGUGAGGGAAAGGUGAAAAGCACCCCGGAAGGGGAGUGAAAUAGUUCCUGAAACCAUGUGCCUACAAGCUGUCGGAGCCCGUUAAUGGGUGACGGCGUGCCUCUUGCAGAAUGAACCGGCGAGUUACGAUUGCAUGCAAGGUUAAGGUGGAAAAACCGGAGCCGUAGCGAAAGCGAGUCUUAAAUGGGCGUAUAAAGUAUGUAGUUGUAGACCCGAAACCAGGUGACCUACCCAUGUCCAGGUUGAAGGUGCGGUAAAGCGCACUGGAGGACCGAACCCGUGUCAGUUGAAAAUGGCUGGGAUGAGGUGUGGGUAGCGGUGAAAUUCCAAACGAACUUGGAGAUAGCUGGUUCUCUCCGAAAUCUCUUUAGGGGGAGCCUUGAGGUAAAGAAUCGUGGAGGUAGAGCUACUGUUUGGACAAGGGGCCCGUCAUGGGUUACCAACUUCAGAUAAACUCCGAAUGCCAUCGAUUUAUACUCAGGAGUCAGACGAUGAGUGAUAAGAUCCACCGUCGAAAGGGGAACAGCCCAGAUCACCAGUUAAGGUCCCUAAAUAUAUGCUAAGUGGAAAAGGAUGUGGAGUUGCAUAGACAACUAGGAUGUUGGCUUAGAAGCAGCCACCAUUUAAAGAGUGCGUAAUAGCUCACUAGUCGAGUGAUCCUGCGCCGAAAAUGUACCGGGGCUAAGCAUAUUACCGAAACUGUGGAUGUGCACUAUGUGCACGUGAUAGGAGAGCGUUCUAAGGGCGGCGAAGUCAGACCGUGAGGACUGGUGGAGCGCUUAGAAGUGAGAAUGCCGGUAUGAGUAGCGAAAGACAGGUGAGAAUCCUGUCCACCGAAUGACUAAGGUUUCCUGGGGAAGGCUCGUCCUCCCAGGGUAAGUCGGGACCUAAGCCGAGGCCGAGAGGCGUAGGCGAUGGAUAACAGGUUGAGAUUCCUGUACCAGUUAACUGCGUUUGACGAUGGAGGGACG